rnacentral:rRNA from 1 species
AUUGAACGCUGGCGGCAGGCCUAACACAUGCAAGUCGAACGGUAACAGAAAGCAGCUUGCUGCUUUGCUGACGAGUGGCGGACGGGUGAGUAAUGUCUGGGAAACUGCCUGAUGGAGGGGGAUACCUACUGGAAACGGUAGCUAAUACCGCAUAACGUCGCAAGCCCAAAGAGGGGGACCUUCGGGCCUCUUGCCAUCGGAUGUGCCCAGAUGGGAUUAGCUAGUAGGUGGGGUAACGGCUCACCUAGGCGACGAUCCCUAGCUGGUCUGAGAGGAUGACCAGCCACACUGGAACUGAGACACGGUCCAGACUCCUACGGGAGGCAGCAGUGGGGAAUAUUGCACAAUGGGCGCAAGCCUGAUGCAGCCAUGCCGCGUGUAUGAAGAAGGCCUUCGGGUUGUAAAGUACUUUCAGCGGGGAGGAAGGGAGUAAAGUUAAUACCUUUGCUCAUUGACGUUACCCGCAGAAGAAGCACCGGCUAACUCCGUG